GAUCCGAAGAUCAAUAUUCGUUACCCGAUAUAACUUUGAAUAGAUCAAAGUUUCAAUAGAGAGAGAAUUUCGAUCCUAAGUUCAAUAGUCUUCAUCUGAUGUAACUCUGAAUAGAUUGGGUUUUUAGUAGAGAGAAUUUUGAUUCAGAGAUUGGUGUUUUAAUCGAUCAGGAGAUUCUCUCCAUCUUGGCCUUUCAGGACUUACCAAUUUGAAGAUUGGAUUUUCAUUGAUCAGGAGAUCUCAUCUCCGUGUCCUUUGGGGCUUACCGAUUC
rnacentral:lncRNA from 1 species